AUCAUUUAUUGUAUAGCCAUAGUCAAUACCAAGCUGGUGGACAUAUGCAUUUGUGUGUGCGUGUGCGUGUGUGAGCAGCAUUGCUACAGGGUUGGGGCCCAUAAAUAGGUCAGGGCCCCUGUGUGAUUGUGUGUGUCACCUCUUACGUAACAAGCAUACAGCUGUCUUAGAGACACACACGAAAUUCCUACAGAGCAGCGGCACACAGCCAGAUCCAUGCGAACGCACACUGGAGCAGAAAGUGCUGUCGAUUCCGGAGGACUGAUUUCAUCCUGUACCCCAGUAAAGAGGAAAAUAACUACCCCUUGAUUUGUAUUAUUCUAUGCUGACUGUCUCUCUCUCUCUCUCUCUCUCUCUCUCUCUCUCUCUCUCUAUCUGUCUGAUUUUCUGUGAGUGGAGAUAACAAUUCUAUCAGCAUGUCUGAAAAAAAUUCCCACUUAACUAUAUAGUGCACUAGUUAAAGAGGCUUACUACUACGUAUAUGAUAUUUUAUUUGUCCAGCUGAAACCCCACAAUGCACUGCAAUGCACCUCCGGGAUUGGGGGUUCAAAUCGCACCUCCGCCCUGCGUGGGUGGCGUUUAUAUUCUCCCCGCGCUUCAGGGGUUUCCUCUGGGCACUCCGGUAUCCUCCCCCAGUCCAAAGACAUGUGUUGUAGGCUGACUGGCAUUUCCAAAUUGUCAUAGUGUGUGAAUGUGUGUGUGAUUGUGCCCCAUAUUGUACAUUGCAGUUUAUAGGGAAUAAGGAGUGGGAGUGUGUGUGUGUGUAAUAUAGACUACUGUAAGGUACAUUGCAGUCAUGGACCAUGUUAUAGAUCUGUGCACAUUAGCCUCCUGCUCUAUUUUGGUCAUCAGUAAGUAGAAACACGGCUCAUAAAGACACACAUACACAUGCUCUCAUAUAUAUGCAGUACUUCCUGCAUACACACACUCUCCAUGUCAUGUCCAGGUCAACCCAAGGUCAAUUCCACUUUUUCACAGCUGGACAGUUUUCCUUUAUUUUUUUCCAAAUGAAAUUCUAAUUGUAUAUUGCUUAUUCUAUGUUUAAAGUAUAUUAUGUUGGUUAAAAGCCUGAAGUGUGGAGAGGGUCCCAGUUAUUCUCAGUGAGCAGCAAGCUGAAUCUGUAGCUUUGGCAUGUCAAAGUCUUUCGAUUUUUUUUUUUUAGAUUCAGACACAAGACUCCAUCCUACUGCAGCAUUCUGAACGGAUGCGAGAGAGUAACAGAGAGCGAGCGGAAGGUAUGAGGGAAAUCAGUAAUCGAUAAUUAAAGCAUGAGAAGAACGUGCCAUUAUGUAGCUUUGUGUGUGUGUGUGUGUGUGUGUGUGUGUGUGUGUGUGUGUGUUGGUCUAAAUGUCUACAUCUGUCGGAUUUCUUUCUGAGCUUUGUGCUUUCUCUCUGCAGCACCCCUCUCCUCUCCUCGCAGCCCCAUCAGCUGCUGACAGGCAGAGCAAAGAGACUCUUACACAAGUGUGUGUGUGUGUGUGUGUGUGUGUGUGUGUGUGUGUGUGUGUGUGCUCUUGUGUUUGUGUGAAUGGGAGGCAACUAACUUUUCGAAAUGUCCCUCCAAUCCUCAGGUCUUGGGUUACAGAGACUCAAACCUAACCCGUCCUGUCUCUGUAGCCAUUGGUUUUCUGUGCAGGAAUGACAGAACAAUAAGAGUGUCUUGAAUCAGUUCUCACAUCCAAGCGCGUGAAAGAUUUGGGAUCUAAAUCAUUCAAAAGCGUUUUGCACUUGGCCUGUAUUCAUGCACAAUAACAAUACAGUGUAUUGCAAUGUAAUGCAUCAUGCCAGUGCUUUAUCCUUCCUCGCAAACAAUGCAGAAAGAAAGAAGCAAAAAGAGGAAAUAGCAAGAAAGGGAGGGUUACAGAGAACAGCAUAAUAGUAUGAGAAUGAAUGUGAGAGAAAGGGAGGGAUGGGGGAGGGGCUGAGAGAAGGGAGACAGCAAACAUUCCUGUACACUCUUACUUUGUUUAUUUGUAACCAGCUGUAGAUGUCAAUUUAAUACUUUCACUGUUAAUUCAGUACCGUAGACUGGGAAAUUUGCAAUGCACCGAGAAGAAAGGAGAGGAGAGGAAAGGAGAGGAGAGGAGAAGAGGAGAGAAGAAGAAAGCAGAAGAGAAGAGAAAAGCAGAAGAGAAG
ensembl:lncRNA